rnacentral:rRNA from 1 species
CGCUGGCGGCGUGCCUAAUACAUGCAAGUCGAACGCACUCUCGUUUAGAUUGAAGGAGCUUGCUCCUGAUUGAUAAACAUUUGAGUGAGUGGCGGACGGGUGAGUAACACGUGGGUAACCUGCCCUAAAGUGGGGGAUAACAUUUGGAAACAGAUGCUAAUACCGCAUAAAACCUAACACCGCAUGGUGUAGGGUUGAAAGAUGGUUUCGGCUAUCACUUUAGGAUGGACCCGCGGUGCAUUAGUUAGUUGGUGAGGUAAAGGCUCACCAAGACCGUGAUGCAUAGCCGACCUGAGAGGGUAAUCGGGCCACACUGGGACUGAGACACGGCCCAGACUCCUACGGGAGGCAGCAGUAGGGAAUCUUCCACAAUGGACGAAAGUCUGAUGGAGCAACGCCGCGUGAGUGAAGAAGGUUUUCGGAUCGUAAAACUCUGUUGUUGGAGAAGAAUGUAUCUGAUAGUAACUGAUCAGGUAGUGACGGUAUCCAACCAGAAAGCCACGGCUAACUACGUG